rfam:Tlvibacter sp. LPB0005 TLVI_37, whole genome shotgun sequence.
CAACCUCUGGCGAUGUACGUGAAUGUUG